CCCCCCUCAGCUUCGCACCUGGAGAGUUUCCAGUACUCUACCAGUCUCGGCUAGGGGAGGGAGAGUGAAGCAGAGGCCUACCCAUUCCAUUCCCAGCUUGGUCCAGUGGCUGGCGAGUGAAGACAAUCUGCUACAGGU
rnacentral:snoRNA from 2 species